UAGUACUAGUUGGUGUGGUAAUGGCACACCAAGGCUACGAUCAGUAACUGGUCUGAGAGGAUGAUCAGUCACACUGGAACUGAGACACGGUCCAGACUCCUACGGGAGGCAGCAAUGAGGAAUAUUGGGCAAUGCACGAAAGUGUGACCCAGCAACGCCGCGUGGAGGAUGAAGGUAUUCUAUAUCGUAAACUCCUGUGAGAGCAGACGAAAGACAGAUUAUUAAUUUGGAUGACUGUAUGCUCAGAGGAAGCCCCGGCUAACUACGUG
rnacentral:rRNA from 1 species